GAUAUAUGGAUGGAUGAUGGGAGUUAAAAGAAGAGUCAAUAAAAAAUAUGAAAUCACUAAUUCAGAAUGUUUAGUGAAAGUAAAUCCUCUGGCUGAAAAUAUGCUGCUUGAGUGUUUCAGAGCCAAAAUUGAGAUUCAGUAAGAAGCAGAUAGGAGCCCAGAAGCUUUGCCUCUGGUGAGAUUUAUAGCUGUGCAGGUGACUCAGUAUCUUCAUUCUUGGCAGCAGCAGCACAAGAAGCUGAUGGAGACUGCUCUGUAAUCUCCCCGAGCAGUGAGGCUGAUGGACCAAAGUUAGUGUCACCCUGCACAAAGCACAGGGACAUUCCAGCUGGCAAUCCUCUGAGCUG